UAGAUUAGAAAAAAAUCAAGUCUAACUCGCUCCGUUCAUCGCCUCUUAUCGAUAAAGAUCCGGUGCAUGUCAAAGAUUAAAAAACAAGCAUACGCCUCCACGCAUAGCUUCAACAGAAUGCGAUACUUGCGUAGGCCAAAUGAUGCCAGCACACCGUAAUAGCAGCAGUUUUUAUUUAUUUAUAUGUUUUUUUUAUGAAUUAUACAUGUAUCUAUCACUACGUAUGUAUACAUUAGCCGGGAUUUUAUUUAUUAAUGAUGGUUCGUUGAACUGCCUUAAUCAAACUUUUUUUUUUUUAAA